rnacentral:rRNA from 1 species
GACGAACGCUGGCGGCGUGCUUAACACAUGCAAGUCGACGACGCUACUGAGUAGCAAUAUUUAGUAGUGGAGUGGCGCAAGGGUGAGUAAUGUAUACGUAACCAACCCAUCGGAGACGGAUAACAUUUCGAAAGGGGUGCUAAAACGGCAUGAAGCCACGAUUUCGCAUGAGAUUGUGGUUAAAGAACCGGUAACAGGUUGCCGAUGGCUGGGCGUAUAUCCGAUUAGCUAGUUGGUAGUGUAAUGGACUACCAAGGCGACGAUCGGUAGCUGGUCUGAGAGGAUGAUCAGCCACACUGGCACUGAGACACGGGCCAGACUCCUACGGGAGGCAGCAGUGGGGAAUAUUGGGCAAUGCCCGCAAGGGUGACCCAGCAACGCCGCGUGGAGGAUGAAGGCCGUAAGGUUGUAAACUCUGACAAGCAGGGAAGAACGGCUAUGGUAAAAGGCCAUAGAAUGACGGUACCUGCCUGAAGCCCCGGCUAACUACGUG